UCGGCCCAGCUGUCACAGUAAUGGAUACACUCUCUCGCACAUGCUCCGGGGGGGUGUCUAAUGCCCGACCCCCCUCUGAAGCCUCUAUUUGCACAUCUUAAACCACUUAUUGGAUUUGUACAGGAUUUUUCAGCCUGAGUGCCAUCUCUGUGUUCACGUGUGUGACAUGUAUAAAUCCUGGCUUUGCAUGUCAUUCACCAAACCAUGGUCAGAAGGUUCCAGAUUCCCAGGCAGCCAGAAGCCUGCUGCCAUUCACGGCUGGAUGUUCCAUGGGCCCAUUGGCUCUGGGCCUCUGUCUUCUUAGUGGAGAGCUCCCUCCUCACGCUCGGCCUGUCCCCAAGGACGCUGGGUCAGCCCCUCUCACAACCUUGUCCUUGAUACUCGUCUCCAUGAAAGGUUACAGCACUUCCCUGCUGGAUGCGCCAUCGAGUCUUGUUUACUGUAACCAGAAGAGAGAAUUUCCAAACAAGCCCUGGUUGUUGACAGCACUCGGAGAAGCAUGUGGCCUGCCAUCCCGGUCUCUGUCAAGCCCGGGCCCCACCUGCCUCCUGGCUCUGGCUUACACUGGUGAGUUUGGCCACAACGCAAGUGUGAGAGCAUGAGAGUGUGAGAUGCCGCAGGCCAGGUGACAUGCCAGUGCCGCAGCGCGGGUAGAUGGCAGGGCAUCUUUGUGUACAUACAAAGGCCACAUGCCACACCAAAAUGUGGCAGCCACUUCUCCCAAAUCAAAUGGAUAAUAUUUCUUUCAUUAUGUUCUCACAAACGUGUUGUAAAACAAUAAGACUUGAGCUACACUAAGUCCAUAUUUCGGGAUUUCAAAUGAAUGGCAAGUGAAUAUUCAUGUUUAUCUCUGAGUUGAUUGACAGGUAGGACUUAAAAAAAAAAAUGUUUGCCCUGAUCAGGUGGUUCGGUUGGUUGGAAUGUCCUCCUGCAUACCCAAGAGGCUUGC